rnacentral:rRNA from 1 species
CAGAGACUGCAAGCGUUAUUCGGAUUCACUGGGCGUAAAGGGUGCGCAGGCGGCCAAGUGUGUGAGGCGUGAAAGCCCGGGGCUUAACCCCGGAAUUGCACCUCAAACUACAUGGCUAGAGCAUUGGAGAGGGUAGCGGAAUUCACGGUGUAGCAGUGAAAUGCGUAGAUAUCGUGAGGAACACCAGAGGCGAAGGCGGCUACCUGGACAAUUGCUGACGCUCAGGCACGAAAGCGUGGGGAGCAAAGGGAUUAGAUACCCCUGUAGUCCACGCCCUAAACGGUGCACACUAGGUCUUGGCGGAUUCGACCCCACCAGGGCCCAAGCUAACGCGUUAAGUGUGCCGCCUGAGGACUACGGCCGCAAGGCUA